rnacentral:tRNA from 1 species
UAGGGUAUAGCUUAAUCGGUAAAGCAUACUGCUCAUAACAGUACUUAUCUAUAUAGAAUAUAUAAUUUAU